GUUUGGUGGAGGAACCAGACUGGAGGUUGGAAGUGAUGCCCGUCCCACCCUGACAGUGCUGCCCCCCUCCAGUGAGGAGCUGCAGCAGGGGAAGGCCACCCUCAUGUGUCUGGCCAACAAGGGCUUCCCCUCAGACUGGAGUCUGUCCUGGACGCUGGACGGCAGCAGCAGCUUCACCUGGGAAGAAAACAAGAGCCGAGUGGUGCUGCAGAAGGACGGCCUCUACAGCUGGAGCAGCACCCUGAGGCUCCCUGCAGACCAGUGGAGGAAGGUGGGCUCUGUGACCUGUGAGGCCUCCAAGGGCUCCCAGCCUGCAGUCACACAGACGCUGACCAGAGACCAGUGUUCCCAGUCCUGAGCUCAUUCACUGGCAGUUUGCUGGUCUUUUCCUGCUACUGCUCUGUUUUUGCUCUUCAAUCGUUUCUCUCAGUGUUUCUUC